GUCCUGAUGCAGUGCCAGCUGCAAACGUAAGCCAUGCCCUCCCCUACCUCUAGCAUGGCCAGCAGUCAGGACCUAACUUGAACAAGUCCAGACAAUUGUAUUUGCCCUGUCCUGGAGAGCCGUGUAUUCAGCCACUCAUGGGUCACAGGGCCCUGGUACUCAGCAAUGAGAUGCCUUCUUUAGAGACAGCAACAGAAGAAAAGAAGAAAAAGGAAGGAGGAGGAGAAUGGACUUCUGUAAUAGCCUUUCCUUCCUUCCAUGCUUGGAAGAGGGGAUGAACUAAGCUUCACUUUGAAGAGCUACUACUAUUUAUUGUCUGAAGAAAUGAUUCUACUAUCAACUUCUCCUUCUUUUUGAAGAAUUUUCCCUGAAUUUGUCUUUUCAGCACUAGUAUGUAUAUAUAUAUAUAUAUCAUUGAUGAGAAAAUUAAUGUACAGAAAAAGCAUAAAUAAUAAGACUGAUUGUUAAGAUAUGUUUUGAUCAGCAAGAUCUCUGUAAUUAUAGUAGGCUCAUGCUUUUUAACAUCAAUUACUUCAGAAGCAUCAUGUAUUUAAUGAGAUAUUUCAUGGCAUAGGAAAGCUGACUUUUUUUUUUGUUGUUUGAUAAGUGGCUGCUAUAGUUGAUCUUCAUGUCCUUCUUAUCUCCAUAUCCAAUUUGAACAUCAGGUAUGAUGCCGGACCUAAUAAGAUACAUCAGAUUACUUGAUAUAGCAUGAGGCUAAAUUUGCCAAUUAGCUGUGUUUCUAAAUCACGGUAUGUGAAGGUGGCUAUUACCAGGGAGUUGCUUUUAACUCCAACUGAAAAACAGUUUUCAUGAAGGAUAAUUGCCUGCAAGAGCAAAUGUAUUGAAGUCCUUCAAUCACUAAAAUCCAAAUAUGCAGACAACUCUUCGUGUUCCAUCAAACCUACAUGUGUUACUGUAAAUAGACUGCAAAAUUCCAGUAAAAUCAACUGAAACUACAGAAGUAUAAGGAAGUAUCUAAUCUCAGCAGUGGAAGAUUUGACUUAUUAAAAACUACCUUUAAAAAAUCUGACUCAUAUUUGUUUGCUACCUACCAGAACUGAAGAAUGUUAAGAGGAUUUACCUUUUGUAUGUGGAAAAUCAGUGACUGACAGAUAAUAUAAAUGAAUAUUUGAGAGCUAAAUUCUGAAGUAGACACCAUUAUACACUCUACACCAGUUAACUGGGUGCUACUGAAUCUUAUUAUUACCUAACAGUCUCUUUUAUAUACAUAUAUAUAUAUAAAAAAACACGUCUAUUAUUUUGAUUACAGAUGAUUAUCAAACCAAUAGUAGAAUGUGUUUUCAUUAAAAUAGUGUAGCUCUAAAUGCUUUGUGAAGUCUUGCCUUUUCACUGAAAUUUAACUUACGUGAGGAAAAAAAAUUGGAAGAAAGGCUCUGGCAAUGUCAAAAUAGUUCAUUUUGACAUCUUUAAAUGAAAGUCUUACACUUUCCUUUUUGAAAUGACUUUUUACUUUGAUUUUUGUGUUUCACAUAGGCGUAUGUGACAUGUGUAAAAAAAAAUGUAUUGGAAAGAAUUGAUCCUUCUGAAAUUAGGCACUUUUUUAUGUUGCAGAAUAUUUUUAAUAUUGAAGUUUUCUUGAACUGGAAUAAAAAUUAUUCUAGAAAGCUCA
rnacentral:lncRNA from 1 species